CAGCCAUAGAGGUGUGCCACCCAGAUCCUCUUUCAAGAGCACUUGCUGUGGGGAGCUCAGCUGAUGGCAGCUGUUGGACUUUUCAUAUCUGAAAGUGCCAAGGCUGUGCUUCCUCUGGGAUCCUCCUAACCCACAUCCGAGCAUGGCAGGGGCACGGGUGCCAGCCCUCUUCUGACUGAUGUGGGAUUCCUCUAACAGAUGAGGAAAUGGAGAUCCUGAUACAUACACAGCUUUUGAGUGACAGAUGUGGGAUGAAGUCUGUAUUCUUCCAGAUCUUGAGCUUGAAAAUUGAGUGCUAUGCUACUUCAACAUCUUUUCUGCAUCAGGCAGAAGAUCUUAUCCAUGGAUAGAUUAUUUUAUACAUCUGCUAGCAGACUGUGGCAUAGAACUAUACCUGGACUGCUCCUUCUAUUCUCUCCACUUGUCUAACUCCUCUGUUUCUUUGAAAUCGACAUUAGGCUUCUGGCUGAUCACAGCACAUUGUCCACGCAGGCUUAUCUCUUCUCCCUCCCCAACCCUUGAAAUAAUAGCAGAAGAGUAAAGAUACUGAUCUGCAAGGACCAAAAAAAAAAAAAAAAAAAAUAGGAGAGACAAUAAUAAAUGGAAUGGUUCAACCACUUUUCUGAAGAUAGGAAACAAAGGCAGAUGUGGCAAACAACUUAGCAGAGUGGAGAAAGUUCCCACUUAAAUGCCUGCAGAUGACUUGCCCAGGGGACCUCUGAGAAGCUCUGCAAGAAGAGUGCCAGGAGCAGUGGAAGUUUGGGAGGUACAGGCUAAAACUGAUGAUUGGGAUGCGUAGGUCCCUCCUCAACCCUUCAUAGCCAGAAGGCAGUUUCUUUCUUGUCUUUGGAGAAUUAAAGUUGUGAGACUCUGGUCUCAGGGAUACCAAGAUCUGGGGAGAGCAAGGUCACUGGGGCUACAACAGAGGAUUAGGAUGAUCUAUAUAACAAACUUAGAGACUCUCAGCACCAUCCCCUAUUGCCUUAGAAGGCCAGCAUCCAAGCAUAUUUCCUUUUCCUGAACUUCUCUAGCAGCAUAUUGGAAGACCAGAUUGUGGAGAAAUGAAGUAGCUCCAGAGGAAAGAUUUCCAGAGACAGACAUAUGGAGCUUUCCAUCCACAAGGAUGGCAUACCCUUUCAUUACCUUGAGUAAAACCCGGCAAUCAAGUCCCUGCCCAUGUUCACAGUGCUUCUAUAAAACAUUUGGUGCUUUAUUCUUAAAAAAAACAAUGGACAAUCCAGGAUAACUGGGUACUUAAGGAAGGCCUUCCACAUGAAAGUGAUAAAAAUGCACCCAAAACCCAACCAAUCAAAGAAAUAAACAAACCAACAGACAACAAUGAUAAAAAGGACCUCAGUGAAAUAGAAACAAUGCUGGCAGCAGAGGAAAACUUCAAAAGAUCUGCAACUAAUAUCUAAGAUAAGAAAAUUUUUUGCAUCUAUAGAAUACCAAUAGCUUGCUUGGAAAAAGGAAACAUCAGAACAAUAAAGAGUUCUUGGAGGGAAAAAGAUGAUGUUUUUAUUUCACACUCCUAGAAAGAAAUUAAAAAGUCCAUAAAAAUGAUGAAAAAUAACUCGUUGCCCA
ensembl:lncRNA